AUUUCUUAAUAUUUUAGUACGGGAACCGCAGGAACUUUGUCAGUUUCAAAACGAAAAACAGUAGAUGAAGGAAGUAACGAGGCUGACAACUCAUCCCCCAAAAAUGCUAAAUACGACAGGGAAAAGCCGCGGAAAAAAAAUAAUAGUGUCCAGGACAGCAGGGCUGUCAAGUCUUUAGUGCGACACUCGCACAUGUUCAUGCUUGUUUGGCGGCAUUUUCCUUUGAUCUAUUGUUUUUUCUCUUUGAUCUCCAAAUCACGCAUUCACUUCCUGAAAAGUUGGCAGAACUGGGACACAAUGAUUCCCCUGGCAAGGUUGGCUGUUGCUGAUGAAAAAAACAGACAAUGCUCUGUGAAUAUUGCCGUUAGUUGCCCCAAGCACGCCAAUAAAAAGUCUGCUUUGAAUGUGGGAACAACUAAGUUAGGUUAAGCACCAAAAGAAUAAAUAACAGAUCAACAAAAUUUAUUAAAUACAGUGUAUAAUGUCUCCUUCAAAACAAAGGACACCCACUUUGUAUUAUGCAUCAAACUCUUGAUUUUUAAGGCAUACUAGAGCUAGCAGGUCAGUUUUGAUGGACUAGCAGUUCUUCCAACAGGGCUAGUAAAAUCCUGCUGCCAAUAAGUCCUGGGCUAGUUAGCUGUAACAAAAUUUUUUAACCCCUGA
rnacentral:lncRNA from 1 species